rnacentral:lncRNA from 1 species
UGGGCCUUUCUUCCUUAUUUCCGGAUAACCCCCUGCAGAAAUAGACAAACACCAAAACUCGUGGAAUUCUGUCAGAUAAAACCCUAAGUCUAGAUGUUGAUUUCAUUUGGAUCCUUUUCUUUGUUUAUUUGAUAAUUAAAUUUGAUACUUAAGGACCGUCAACAAACUCCCCCAAGCUUACCUCUUGCUCGUCCCUGAGCAAGGAUGAACUCAAGAGUUUCUGUUGUGGUUUCAUUUCUUAGAAGUACACACGCAUUUAAGCAAGAUCUCAUCUCUGAGUUAGAAUAAACUGUUAACACUUAAAACUUACUUACUUUACCUACACCAUAGGACUUGUAACCGUCACUUCUGUCUUGAGUGGUUAAAAGAUAGAACAGUCUAGCCAAGUGUCAUAUCUCUUAUUCUUGAUCAGCUAUAGCUCUGGGGUUUUUGCAGAUUUUCAAAUAAAACUCAGAAAUUCCUUGUAUGAUUCUCUCAGGUCUCUCUUUUGUGGUAUUUUUGGAUCCUUACCAAGGCAGUGAUGGUAUAUGCCUUCUCUCAAGAUAUGUAGUAUUUGUGGUAUGAAGCAUAGUGACAUUGUCUUCUCUCUCACCCUACUCUAAUAAGGCUUUAAUAUCUGGAGCUCAUAGGUGGGAGAUAAAGUAUACAUACUUACAAGACAUUUAUUGCAUAGUCAAACCAUGGAUCCAGAGAAACAAGUCAAUAAGUCAAAUCAAGAUGUGCAUGUGUGGCGAAUGUAUGGUGUAUGGUGAUGAUGGUGAUAACAAUGGUGAAAGUCUAAUUCUACUUUUGCUCUUUUAAGGGGAUACAUACCUUUCUUGCACUAAGAAGUUUUUUGGGGAGAAUGAGAUGCUCUAUAUUUUCUUUUUCUUACCUCUCAGGUGGGUAUCUUGUACCCCUAAUUCUACUAUCGGACACUUGUCCAUUUUUACCUCUCGUCUCACUUUUUCUUUUCUUCGAGGUUCCGGGCACUUGCCCCUUUUUAUUUCCUCGUAUAUUAUUUAUUUAUUUUUUUCUUCUUUUUUUUCUCUUUUUUUUUCUUUCUAGAGCACUCAUCUCCUGAAAUAAUGUACCAAGUGGUAGUAACAAAAAUAACUGGAGCAUUUAUUUCACAGGGAAUAACAGGGAUAGGAAAAUGUUUUUGGCUAUUCUCUCCCGGAUUAGGAGUAGAAUAAUUUUGGGUAAAACUGGAGAUAGAAAUGAGUGGAUAUAUGUGGAUGGUACUUCCGGAGUAGAAGUAGCAUGUAUGAGUAAUCGUGCAAGUGAAUCUUGAUUUUAACCACAUGACAAGCUCCUAAGGGUCUACACAGCUUGACCACACUCAAUGCUCAUAAGCAGUAAAUAGUAAAUGUGUGGCUCAAGGUCUAGCAUGCAUGUAUAUAUGGCUGUGGUAGGAAUUUAAACUCUCAUCAUACAUGAACUCAUCAUGCAACAUUUUAAAGAUUUUCAAAGAUAAAAUUCUCCAGAAUUCUAGCAUCUCUAGGAACAGAUAAAAAGCAGCUCAACCUUCCCAUAUCGUAUCCGUUAACAACUUAGACUUCAGCUCAAGUUUUCAUCCCACAAGUUUAGGUCUAGAGCAAGCCUUAAAUUAUAACAGUUAUAUCUAAACUUGAGAGAGAACUUCAAAUUUGCAAAUUAGGGAGAGCAACUAUUCAUCAUAUCCAUGCUUAAGUUUUAUUAGAUACAGAUUAGCAUAGCCACUUUAUUUAUUUAUUAAACAUACUAAGCAAAAUAUAUAUAAGCAUAAAAUCUUUAUUUGGUUUUUCAUAGUUAUGUGUAUUUAUUUUCUAAUAUAGUAUAAGUAUAAAGAUAGAUAGAAAUACUUAUCGAGAUAAAUGGGGGUGCUCUCCCCCAAGCUGAAUUUUGACGUAAUUUCUCUUGAUGUAGCUAGCAGGUGGCAGAGGUGUGUGUUGGGUAUUUUAAACGCAAACAGAAAAAUCCGCAAGCGCACGGAUACCGAUGUAGCUUUCACCCGGGAGUAUUCCAGAGUAUCGAUUUUCCACAGAGAACGUGAGUGUACUAAUUAAGAUCCAAGAUCGCCCAAGGAUAACUAUAUAAUUAUUUUUGGUGGGAAGAGAGGAAGUUUCGUGAGAGUUCUCUAGUUGAUCUAAGAAUCAAGAAUUACUUCAAGAUUAUCUAUAUCGGGACAUCAGAGCACUAACCACAGAAAGAGAUGAGAAGGGGGCUAGGAAGGUCUGACUACGGUCCUACAAACACCGAUCCGAACGUGGUGGAAUACGUCGACCGUUAGGACUGUCACUACCCUAGGGCUACCACAACAAUCCGUAGGAUUGGGUGCAAUUCCAGGUAAUCGCAAGACUAAACACCACGUCUAAUCUAUUAAUUACUACUCUAGCAUUAUAAAGACUAGAGCACUUGAUGCAAGCGGGAAUCCAAUAAAUAACUUGAAUGUAAAUAAAAGUAAUUAAAGGACUCAGGAAUUAUGAGUUGAAGAACCUGGAGAACGAUGAAGAACGAACCAGAUGCUGCAAAAGUAUAAUGUUGAGGAAGAUCCGACAGAUCCGGCUCCUCCUCCGCUCUCCUCUUCUCUCUCCCUAUUUUCUAGAUUACAACUAGAACUAACUAGAACUAGAACUAGAAGAACUAGAACUAGAACUAGAUCUAGAUGAACUAGAGGUAGAACUAGAAGAACUAGAGGGAUCCUCUCUACUUGGAUGAAGAAAUUGAAACCCUAACUUUGAUUCUGUAGAAGAGGUAUGAUCUCCAGGGGCCAGGGGGUCUGGUUUUAUAGUCCCUUCAAGUGAAUCUGGGCCGUCGGAUCAAACCGACAUUGAUUGAACGGUUAUUGUUGAUCCUUUAGGUCGGUGGAGCAAUAUCCCGAAAGAGAGUCCUGAUUGGACUCUGGCUGAGGGCGGGCGCCCUGUCCCUGUGUCCUCUCGGCCUCCGCUUCGGUCCCGUGGCUUCUGGAGUCUUCUAGAUGAUAGAAAAUUACGCGGCACCUUAAUAUCUCUAUGUAAACCCGACGUGUGGGCCUUUCUUCCGUAUUUCCUGAUAACCCCCUGCAGAAAUAGACAAACACCAAAACUUGUGGAAUUCUGUCAGAUAAAACCCUAAGUCUAGGUGUUGAUUGUAUUUGGAUCCUUUUCUAUGAUUAGUUGAUGGUUAAAUGUGAGCAUUAAGGACCGUCAACAAGCUCCCCCAAGCUUAACCUUUGCUCGUCCCUGAGCAAAGAUGAACUCAAGAGUUUCUGCAGUGGUUUCAUAACUUAAAGAUACACAUGCAUUUAAACAAGAUCUCAUCUCUGGUUAGAGUAAACUGUUAAGACUUAAAACUUACUCAUUUACCUUUCACCAUGGGACUUGUAACCAUCACUUCUGUCUUGAGUAGUUAAAAGAUAGAACAGUCUAGUCAAGCACCAUGUCUCUUGUUCUUCGAUUAACUAUAGCUCUGGAGUUUUUGCAGAUUUUCAACUAAAACUCAGAGAUUCCUUGUAUGACUCUCUCUAGUCUCUCUUUUGUGGUAUUUCUGGAUCCUUACCAAGGCAGUAAUGGUAUAUGCCUUCUCUCAAAGUAUGUAGUAUUUUUGGUAUGGGGCAUAGUGGCAUUGCCUUCUCUCUCACCCUACUCUAAUAAGGUUUUGAUAUCUGGAGCUCAUAGGUGGGAGACAGCUAAUACAUACUUACAAGACAUUUAUUGCAUAGUCAAACCAUGGAUCCAGAAGAACAAGUCAAUAAGUCAAAUCAAGAUGUGCAUGUGUGGCGAAUGAAUGGUGUAUGGUGAUAACAAUGGUGAAAGUCUAAUUCUACUUAUGCUCUUUUAAGGGGAUACAUACCUUUCUUGCACUUUUGAAACUUUUUGAGGAGAAUGAGAUGCUCUAUGUUUUCUUUUUCUUUUCUCUCAGGUGGGUAUCUUGUACCCCUAAUUCUACUAUCGGACACUUGUCCAUUUUUACCUCUCGUCUCACUUUUUGUUUUCUUCGAGGUUCCGGGCACUUGCCCCUUUUUAUUUCCUCGUAUAUAUUUUUUUUUCUUUUUUUUAGAGCACUCAUCUCAUGAGAUAAUAUAGCAAGUGGUAGUAACAAGAUAACUUGAGCAUUUAUUUCACAGGGGAAAAACAGGAAUAUUUUUGGCUAUUCUCUCCCGGAUUAGGAGUAGAAUAUUUUUGGGUGGUUCUGGAGAUGGAAAUGGAUGGAUAUAUGUGGAUGGUACUUCCGGAGUAGAAGUAACAUAUAUGAGUGAACGUGCAAGUGAAAUCUUGAUUUAACCACAUGACAAGCUCCUAAGGGUCUACACAGCUUGACCACACUCAAUGCUCAUAGUAAAUGUGUGGCCCAAAGUCUAGCAAGCAUGUAUAUAUGGCUGUGGUAGGAAUUUAAACUCUCAUCAUACAGGAACUCAUCAUGCAACAUUUUAAAGAUUUUCAAAGAUAAAAUUCUCCAGAAUUCUAGCAUCUCUAGGAACAGAUAAACAGCAGCUCAACCUUCCCAUAUCGUAUCCAUUAACGACUUAGACUUUAGAUCAAGUACUCUCCCCACAAGUUCAGGUUUAGAGCAAAUCUUAAUUCAUAACAGUCAAGCCUAAACUUGAGAGAGAUUUUAAUUUUGAGAACUAGUCAUGGCAGAACAAUUAUUCAUCAUUUCCAUGUGAGAGCUAUCAUGAGGGUUCAUAGCAAACUUUAUUUAUUUAUUCAAUUAGCAAACUAAAAAAAGAUAUAUAUAAGCACGAAAUCUUUAUUUGAGUUUUUAUGAUUAUGCAUCUUUUUAUUAUUUGAGUAAAAUAUAAACAUGAGUUGAACACUUAGCUGGAUAAAUGGGGGUGCUCUCCCCCAAGCUGGAUUUCGACGUAAUUUCUUCUGAUGUAGCUAGCAGGUGGCGGAGGUGUAUUUGAAUGUCGGCAGCACCCUGACAGCGAUUAGGAUAUCCUCCGUCUCCUAGUCUUAUUUGAUCCUUGAAUUCUGUGGAGCUCAAAUAGACAACAAAGCUUUGUGGAACUGGUUAAGUGUUAGCAUAAAUAUCUAGCCUCUAUCAUGUUGAGCCUCCUCAAUAAAUGUUACUCAUUAGUAGGAUCAUAAUUUUAUUUUUAUAAUUUUAUUUUUAUAGGACAGGAAUAUAUUUAUUUUAUUUUUAUGCCACCACAGUGAAUGUACUUAUGGGUUUUAUGCCAUGAGCAUACUCACAUGGGGCUUACUAUUUUUAACAUUUUUAUUUUCUUUUUAAGAUGAUAUGAUCCUGAUUAACUAAAAUAUUUGAAAGGAAAAAGAUAACUACCAAGUUUACCUCUUGGCAAGGCGUUCGGUGUUUUUACGUCCUCGGAACGGGACUCUCUGUUUUCUCAGUUGUCCUGGGAUUCGCUGGAUGAAGUAGUCGGUGGUUCCGGUGGCGCCUGCUCUUUGUGUAUAACUAUCUUCUCUCGCCACACCUGACUCGGUGCUAUGGUCUCUUCAGGACAGUUCUGUUCAAGUUAUAUGUCUUCAGACUUUACUACUUCUCCUUCGUAGUCUGCCCAUCCGUCCUUGACGAUCUGCCUCCUCUGGUUGCGGUUGCAUUGUCUUCUUCUUGUCUUGACCUGCUUAGAGUCUUCAACUAUAUAGUUAGGGUUAGUAAAAUAGCGGCGUACCUUCUCAGAGGGGAAAUGCAUGUGGACUUCUCUAGUUCCAAUGUAGAUGAUUGCUUUAACGGUGCUGAGGAACGGUCUUCCAAGGAUGAUGGGUGGAUUGUACUCGUCUUCUCCCAUGUCAAUAACCUUCAAUCUUUUAGAAUGUCUGAUCUGCCAUCUGGAGCUGAAUGUAUGUUGGUUGUAGGGACAUGGUUCCAUGCAGGAGCUGAUAAGUGACUGCGGCCAUUAUGUUGACGUUAGAUCCGGUGUCAUAGAGUGUCUUCUGAAAAGAAUAUCCGUUGAUUGUGCACUCGAUGCUUGGAACACCAGGGUCGUCCUUCUUGAUAAAGAAAGGUGGCUUGAGUUGACGAUCUUGACCUCCUUGAGCUGCAGUGACCAACUUAGCUGACUCGGUACACAUUUGCUUGUUCCUAUUCCUCCUGUUGGUCCUCUUCCUUGGUUCAUGUCAGGAUUACUCUGAGAUUUGUAUAGUCUUGUUCUUGAAGGAAAACAUCUCCUUCCUUCCCUUGAUGUAGAAACUGAUCUUGGUAGCACUAGCGUAGAUGAUAGCUCCCGAGGUGUUCAGGAAUGGCCUCCCUAGAAUGAUGGGUGCCCUCUCAUCACCACCAGUCUCUAUCACCACGAAGUCUGCUGGAGCGUAUAAGGUACCAACUCGGAUGUAGAGGUUCUUCAAUAUUCUCUUUUGGAAACUUAGCGUCCGAUCUGCAAGCUGCAAACACAUGGUUGUUUCCAAUACAGGAUAUGUAAAGAUUUUUUCAUCGAGUACCCUUGGCAUAAUAUUGACGCUGGAGCCAAAGUUGCAGAGUGCUUAUAGGAAGUCCACCAUGCUGAUGGAGAUCGGGAUGACGGGAUGUCCUGGAUUGUAUCUCUUGACCCGUAGAAGGUCAGUAAUUACUUCCACCACGUGGUUACUCCAGUAGUUAUGUCCUCAAGCAUCUCAGGGCAGUGAUUGCCUGAGUGUCCAGUAUCUCCAGUGUGUUUGUGCUCGUAGAUCUAGGUUCUUCACUUGGUGGAGUCUGGCAGUUAUAAAGGUGCUUCAUAUUUCGCUCAAAAUGUACCUGCUCAUAGAGACAAGGCAGAGAUCAAGUGCAUGGGCCCUGUUGGUGGAAAACACCAACAGAACCAAAAGUGUAUUUGUUCUUCUCUAACCUUAAGCAUAGUGAGCAAGACAAAGUUGAUGGAUAAUAAGAUCAUGAGUAUAGCAUUUAAAGCAUUUGUCAGAUCAGAUCGCUCAACCUAAUGGAAAGAUAAUCAAUCUAUAUUUAUGUUUAUAUAUAUCUUAAAAAGAUUGAAUGUGCAACAUUUUAGUUCAUAUGAUUAGGAGUGUGGGAUCACAAAGGUGGACGGACUAAACAUAUUGAAUCGAUUGGGUUGGUUAAUCUAGAAUUGUAAAUCAUACAUGUUUGUCUCUUUUAUUCAUGUGAAUGCUAGAACCAAGGAGAAGCUUAUAGAAGUGAUAGUCAAGUACCUUAAGAUGUUACCUUACUUGAAGAGUGAUGGUACAGUAUCACCUUCUAGAAGCUUUCCUUUCCUAGCGGUUGUGCAUCGUGUUUGUAGCACCCUCCAUGGAUCAUCUCUUGUGAGCUAUGCCUUCCUUGUGUAAAUUGUUAAACUUCACGUGCCUCUCUCUUUGUCUCCAAUGUGAGUUUAUCUCAGGACUUCCCAGGUCGAUAUUGAAAGUUUUCCUGCAGGGGUUAGUCCAACAAAAUAUCCAGUAUCUACUAUAGCAUACUAUCGGCUCAAAGAUCAACCUAGACACCAUGUCUAAUUUGAUUUAGGAGGGCAUUUUAACCUAAGCAUCAUGCUUAAUUUAAACUCCCUUGGAAGUAAGAUCAUCAUUCCUAAACUAAGCACCAUGCUUAAUUAAGAGAUAAAAGAAACUACUCCAAACCUAGACAUAUACUAAAGCAAAUAAAGGUAGCAUG